rnacentral:rRNA from 1 species
AUUGAACGCUGGCGGCAGGCCUAACACAUGCAAGUCGAGCGGAUGAAGGGAGCUUGCUCCUGGAUUCAGCGGCGGACGGGUGAGUAAUGCCUAGGAAUCUGCCUGGUAGUGGGGGAUAACGUCCGGAAACGGGCGCUAAUACCGCAUACGUCCUGAGGGAGGAAGUGGGGGAUCUUCGGACCUCACGCUAUCAGAUGAGCCUAGGUCGGAUUAGCUAGUUGGUGGGGUAAAGGCCUACCAAGGCGACGAUCCGUAACUGGUCUGAGAGGAUGAUCAGUCACACUAGAACUGAGACACGGUCCAGACGCCUACGGGAGGCAGCAGUGGGGAAUAGUGGACAAUGGGCGAAAGCCUGAUCCAGCCAUGCCGCGUGUGUGAAGAAGGUCUUCGGAUUGUAAAGCACUUUAAGUUGGGAGGAAGGGCAGUAAGUUAAUACCUUGCUGUUUUGACGUUACCAACAGAAUAAGCACCGGCUAACUUCGUG